AGAGUUUGAUCAUGGCUCAGAAUGAACGCUGGCGGCGUGCCUAACACAUGCAAGUCGAGCGCGAACGCGGGCUUCGGCCCGCUAGUAGAGCGGCGAACGGGUGAGUAACACGUGGAUAACCUGCCUGGGAGCGGGGGACAACUUGGGGAAACUCGAGCUAAUACCGCAUACGUUCACAUCUCCAUGGAGGUGUGAAGAAAGGUGGCCUUCGGGCUGCCACUCCCAGAGGGAUCCGCGCCUGAUUAGCUAGUUGGUGGGGUAACGGCUCACCAAGGCGACGAUCAGUAGCUGGUCUGAGAGGACGAUCAGCCACACUGGGACUGAGACACGGUCCAGACUCCUACGGGAGGCAGCAGUGGGGAAUAUUGGACAAUGGGCGAAAGCCUGAUCCAGCAACGCCGCGUGGAGGAUGAAGGCCUUCGGGUUGUAAACUCCUGUCAGGUGGGGCGAAAAGAUUUCGGCCAAUACCCGGAAUCCAUGACGGUACCACCAGAGGAAGCCCCGGCUAACUCCGUGCCAGCAGCCGCGGUAAUACGGAGGGGGCGAGCGUUAUUCGGAAUUAUUGGGCGUAAAGGGCGCGUAGGCGGUCUGAUAAGUCAGGGGUGAAAUCCCUCGGCCCAACCGAGGAACUGCCCUUGAAACUGUCAGACUUGAGGCCGGGAGAGGGUGGUGGAAUUCCGAGUGUAGCGGUGAAAUGCGUAGAUAUUCGGAGGAACACCAUUGGCGAAGGCGGCCACCUGGACCGGUUCUGACGCUGAGGCGCGAAAGCGUGGGGAGCAAACAGGAUUAGAUACCCUGGUAGUCCACGCUGUAAACGAUGAGCACUCGGUGCUGCGGGUGUCGACCCCUGCAGUGCCUUAGGAAACCCGUUAAGUGCUCCGCCUGGGGAGUACGGUCGCAAGGCUGAAACUCAAGGAAUUGACGG
rnacentral:rRNA from 1 species